ACUGCGUGCCCCUUCUAAGCUUAUCCAUCCACAUCGCUAUUCCUCCUCAGUCCACAGCGCCGCUCCGCCUCCAUCUUCCUCCUCCUGCAACCUCACCACCAAGCGCUACUCCUCCCCUCUUCUCCAUCCAUCCACCUCACCACCAGCGCUGCUCUCCUCUUCUCUAUACAGCGCGUCCACUACCGGCUUGGCGCGCGUUUGCCCUACCCCAAGUUCUCUCCUCCUACCACGCAUGGCCGUGCUCCACCCCACCAGCCGCCCGUGCUCUGCCGAUGAUGAACUCCAGUCCUGGAGUGCGCGGCCUCGGUGGCUGGCUACAGCCACUUACCGGCACCCGGCUGCCAAAGGUGGGGCGGAGCUUUGGUGUGUGCGUUUACUGCUGCGGCUGGGGCGGCGGUGGCCUGCUCGUCGGCGCAUAGGGGCCUGGGGUGGAGUCCCCAUGCCGUGGUGGUGGAGCCCGUGCCCGUGAGUGGCUGGUGACUAUGGGGGGAUGUGGUGCUGGUUUGCAGUGGCGGCUCGGUUGCUCGCCAGAUCUAGCGGCUGGCCAGCACAUGCAGGAGCUGGCUGGGCCUGUGGCGGAGGCGGCCUGGUGGUGCUGCUCGUCUGCCGAUGGCCCAAGAAUUCUGUGGCCGCUCGGGUGAAGGCCCCCAGUUUUCUCUUCUCGUUAGCUCUUCUAUAGAGAUGGCCAUGGCCGCCCGAUGCCCAAGCACCGCCGGCGUCCAGACCCCAUCCACGCUAUCCCCAUCUCGCCGGAGACCUGCACCAAGUCCCAUCCAGCGUCCGCACCACCACCUUCGGCCCCUGCCCCGCAGCUCUGCAGCCCGAGCGCUUCAGCCACCUCCCAAAGCAGAGGAGAGGAGCUCCCUGCCACGAGCCUUUCCAGUGCCGGCAAACCAGUAGGCCGACCCGCCCCCUACUCCGCCAAGCUUCACCACCGCUGGGAUGCCCCCUCCUCCCCUUCCCCGCUUGGAUCUGGCAGGCGCCGGGGCGGUGGCGUCGUCCCUGUGAUGUCGCGCAAACAUGAAACGUUUUUCCAGAGUGCCACUUAAACAGGGACUGUGGGCUUAUUUCAAAGAAAUAGAGGGGCUUUUGCGCAAAAACGCCAACGACGUACGACCAGAAGCAUUAGCUGCUUUAUUAGUAGUGAUUAGUAUUAGCUUUCUUGGAAGUUCAAGAACUUCGUCCUGGUUCUUGAUUCGAUUUAGUUUUCUUGGAUGUUCAAGAACUUCCUUCUGGUUCUUGAUUCGAUUUAGCUUUCUCAAGAACUUCCGGCUGAUUCUUGAUU